UCUCAACUGUCGCUAACCGUGAUCCUUUCAUUCGCUUUCUUUUUCUUGCCAACACCACUUUAGAAACAAACAGCUAUUUCUGUGCCAUCAACACAUCUCAGAUGACUCUGCUCAGCACAGUCUAUCAUUAUCCAAACUACCAAUGGAGAAUACAUGUGAGCGCUGUAAGAGGAGGGGAUGAGGCCAUGCAGAAGUUCCCAGGUUCAUUCCCAGCAUCCCCAGAUAAGGCUCGGAGAGACUCCUGCCUGAAACCCUGGAGAACCCCUACUAGUCAGUGUACAUUACUGAACGAGAUUGGACUUGGUAUAAGGCAGUUCCUAUGUCCCUAGCCAAUGUUCUCAAUUGCUGAAGGCAGUGAAGGGAGGGAGGGAAGAGACAGCUUAUAGACCACCGCCGGGAAAUUGCAGCAGGCGCCCUGUACCCUGCACAGAAGCAUCUCUGUACUAAAGAUUUCCACUGAGUCUGAUUGAAAGAAACAAACAGCUAUUUAUGUGCCAUCAACACAUCUCAGAUGACUUUGCUCAGCACAGUGUAUAAUUAUCCAAACUGUGAAAAAGAAGGAAAAACUGAUACCGAAACCCCUAUGAAAAUGCCCACGACAAAAUGCAAGGUCUACACCUAAAACAUCUUAGCUGUGCACUUUCAAAACAAGAUAACAUGUAAAUCAUUCCUGAUUCUGACAGCACUGAUUUGAAUGAGAAGCAUUUGAAAUAUUUCAGUGUUCUUCCCGCCACCCCCGACUUCCGCAGCUGAAUUACAAAAAAGUAAUCAAUUUGUUAUUUUAUUCCAGCACCUUUAUGUUAACCAUUUUGCACUGGAACUGGAAACCUACACAUUAGUAAGCGUUAGAAAGCAUUAUACAUUCAUAUUAAUUUGCCAGCUACCUCUUAUUCAACCCUGCACUGUUUUGCAAGAAUUGCAGGUAAUAAUACUGCCAUUGUGAACCUUAUUCCUACACUACCUUUAAUGACUCUCCCUAAUUUGCAAAGUGGCAACGUUCCAUGUCACAUUAUCUAGUCAUUACAAGGACUGCUCUGUAGUUUAUUAAUUUUAAACGUUUCUCAAAUGCCAGGCAUACACACUGCUGCUCCUUAGUUUGGAUUUGAAAAAGUGGAGGUGGGAAAGGUGUGUCAGUGAAGCAAAAUGCUAAAACAUUUGGAUUCUGUGCUGACGGCGAUGCUAAAUUCUUUUCAUGUCCUUUCUUGGGCCAUAGAGGGAAAAACUCUAAUGUGGAAGGAAGGAAGGAAAUAAGUAGUGGCUGAAGAAAAUCACAGAUCUGGAAAUCCCUGAUCCUCUUUUGACCUCUGCUCUGAAACUUGAUGGCCUCUGGACCAAAUGAGAUGUGGGAUUAAUCACACUAUUGGCCCGUGUGUGUUCAAAGUGUGUAAAAAAUUGCAGUUUUAAAACUAAAUUGCAGCAAUGCACACACAUGUGUGUCUGUGUGUGUGCACUUUCUUUUUUCUUUUUGGAGUACAGCUCAGGGGUAAAGGGUUCAUAAGAACAUAAAACUAGAUACUGUUAAAUCUAAUCAUAAAAUUAGAUGCUUUUAAUUAGAUACUGUUUUAAUAGUUUGAUUAUUUUUAAUAGUUUUAAUGUUGUUUUACAUUUUAAAUUAUUGUAAUGCUUUUACCUUUUUACUUGUUUUUUUAGUUUUGUUGUAAACCGCCCAGAGACUUGUGUAUUGGGCGGUAUACAAAUAUGUUAUAUUAAAAAAAAUAGAAAAAUAAAUAAAUAAAAUAGCCCUCCUGGGCCAGGUCCAAGGUC